rnacentral:rRNA from 1 species
GACGAACGCUGGCGGCGUGCCUAAUACAUGCAGGUAGAACGCUGAAGGAGGAGCUUGCUUCUCUGGAUGAGUUGCGAACGGGUGAGUAACGCGUAGGUAACCUGCCUGGUAGCGGGGGAUAACUAUUGGAAACGAUAGCUAAUACCGCAUAAUAGUAGAUGUUGCAUGACAUUUGCUUAAAAGGUGCAAUUGCAUCACUACCAGAUGGACCUGCGUUGUAUUAGCUAGUUGGUGGGGUAACGGCUCACCAAGGCGACGAUACAUAGCCGACCUGAGAGGGUGAUCGGCCACACUGGGACUGAGACACGGCCCAGACUCCUACGGGAGGCAGCAGUAGGGAAUCUUCGGCAAUGGACGGAAGUCUGACCGAGCAACGCCGCGUGAGUGAAGAAGGUUUUCGGAUCGUAAAGCUCGGUUGUAAGAGAAGAACGAGUGUGAGAGUGGAAAGUUCACACUGUGACGGUAUCUUACCAGAAAGGGACGGCUAACUACGUG